rnacentral:tRNA from 1 species
GGUGGCUCAGUGGGAGAGCAUUCGCCUCACAUGCCGAAGGCCCUGGGUUCCAUCCCCAGCACA